GACUACGGCAGUGCUACUCUGAACGUGCCCAAUCUCGUUUGAUCUCAGAAGCUAAGCAGGGUUGGGGCCUGGUUAGUACUUGGAUGGGAGACCACCUAGGAAUACCGAGUGCUGUAGGCG
ensembl:rRNA 5S_rRNA 5S ribosomal RNA